UCGCGCGCCCACCCACUUCCGGGGGCGCCGUGGAGUAGGCGCUGCGGCCGCCUGGUGCGGUGUGGUUUGUGCGCGCUGCGGGGAGCCAAGCGGUCUCGCAGACCACCGACGCCUCCAGAACCUCCCAGAGACCCCCUGCCGCCCCCUAGAACCCGGCCCGUCGUCCCUUCAGGACCGGCCGUCGUACCUCAGAACCCGGCCCGUCGUCCCUUCAGGACCGGGCGGUUGUACCUCAGAACCCGGCCCGUUGGCCCUUCAGGACCCGCCCGCCAGCCUUGGGUUCUCAGAACGUAAGGCGAGGAGAGGGCGGCCGGGAGGGGCCCCGGGGGGCGGCGCUAUGGCGACCGGAGGCGGGAGGAGGCGAGCCGGCGGGCGCAGGUGGACAGGUGUCUAGGUGGUUCCCCUUCUAACGGACGUGUCGUCCUCGAGCGCACAGACCGAAAGCUUUAAUCUUCUUGGGAGAAUUCCUCCAAACUUGUGCUUCUUCGAGGACGGCAUGGUGUGGCGGUAACAGACGCCGCUGGUGCCGGUGACAGGACUCCUGACGGGAGGUGGCCGGCCUCGGACCCAGUGCGAGCCCAGAUGUAGGCUCCACAGCUGGUGUGGAGCCCAACACGGGACUCGAACCCACAACAAUGAGAUGAAGACCUGGGCCAAGAUCAAGAGUCAGACACUUAACCAACUGAGCCACCCAGUGCCCCCUAAUAAAAAUAUCUCACAGAUCUUGAGGUAAGGAAGGAUUUCUACCAAAAAAAAAAAAGAUGUAUAAAGCACCAACUAUAAUGGAAGAGAUGGAUACAUUCAACUACUCUAAAAUCAAAAACUUCUCUUUAUCAAGACACCAUUAAAAGGGUAAAAAGGCAAGCCACAGAGCAGAAGAUAUUUGCAACACGCAUAAUCAACAAAGGGCUAGGAUCCAGAACAUAGAAAGAACUCCUGCCAAUCAGUAAGAAAAAGAUAAACAUUUAAAUUGUGAAAAAGGUGAAGGACCUGAACGGCACAUAAGAAGAAAGAGGAAAUACAGGUGGCUAAUAAACAGGAAAAAGUGCUCAACCUCACCAGUAAGCAGAAUACAAGUUAAAGCCACAAGGAGUUGCCUACCGCAUAGGCCAAGUGAAAGUGCAAAUGGGUGCUCUCACUGGGGAAUUCAGUCUGAUACUAUCUAGUGAAGCUGAAGAUAGGCCUUCCCCGUGGCCAGCAGUGCCUUUACUAAUAGAAACACCAGGAGCACAUGUGAGAACGUUCUUAGCAGCAGUUUCUAAUAGCUCCAAGUGUCCGUCGGUAGUGGAAUGUAUGAACAAAUGUGAUGUAGUCAUACAGGAAAUAUUAUUGGUAAACAAAAAUGAAGUACAACUAGAUGCAAUAACAUGGAUGAACCUAGAACAUAUGUUAUUGUCACUAUAUCCCUAAAUGAUGAAGAUCAUCAAAGGAAGCUUUAGGAACGUGAACUUCGGGGUGGUUUGACAAGCUACUUCACUACCUGGUAUAGUUCUUUAGGCAUUGUAAGUACUUAGUAAAUACUGGAGAGUGGUUGGAGGUGGGAUAGGUAGUGGAAGUGAUUUGGAGAAAUCGGAGCGAGAAUGAAUUUGAUUUAGAUAUGGAGAGGCCUCCAUAGGCAGCCAAUACAUCUCCUGCUCCAAAAGAAAUGAAAUUGAAAGAAGUUUAUAAAGGAAGUUUCUCCAGAAACCAAAAAGGACCAGGGAAGGGAGCAUGGUGGGAUCCCUGACCAGGGUGUCUGGACAGCCAAGAAGGCAGGCAGGCCGGCCCUGAAACCACGCAGGAGUCCACUCUCAGCCCAGGUGGAAAGGAGGGAGGUGGACAAUUAGGUGUAUGAGCCAGGCCAUUCUAAGGGCCCAGACUGUUGUCCUUACUUGACCAAGAAUGACUCUGGGACGUGGGGAGGUCACCCUGCCCAGAGGCAGCUGGGAUUCAGCCUUCAGGCGUGUGGCCUCAAAGCCUGUGUUCUUCAUCACUAAUCUGCCCCUGCACAGUUUUAGGAUUUCUCUGAUGGACCUACAUCUUAGCAGGGGCCUGAAUAAAGGAGUGAGGACACGAGUGCAGUGCAUAGUGGGAAUGUCAAGUGCAACAGCCCAGGACCACCAGGGAGGCAGGGUGGCUGGAGCUGGGGAGACAGGAGACUGAGUAACAGUGAGCUCAGAGAGCCUGGAGGGAGAGGGCGGCUGGGGUUAGGGCAGAGCCGUGCAUUCGUAACGAAGCCCAAGGGACACGUUCCCAAGUGUGCACAAGCGUAGCUGUAAGAGAUUGUUUAACGUCACUGCUUUCACUAAGUAGGCGUGGACACAGACCCCAGAGUGUCCCCAUGAUCUCUGCCCCCUCUGUUGUCCCUUCCUUUGAUGCGGGCUGGCCUGUGGCUUUCCUCUAGCUAGUAGAAUCCUGCAGAGAUGCAGGGAUUUGGCAGAUGUAAUUAAGGUCCCAAAUCGGUAGAUUUUGAGUUAAUUAGAAGGGAGAUGAUCCUGGGUAAGCUUGGCUUAAUUAGAUAAAGGCCCUCUUAAGCGGGACUUGGGCUUUCCUGAGGCUAGACACUGUCUCCUGCGGGCCUUGCAGAAACAAACAGCCAUGUUGUAAACGGCCUCUGGGGAGGGCCGCGUGGCGGGGGAACUCAGGCAGCCUUUAGAAUCUGAGGGCGACCAACAACCGGUAAGAAGCUGGGGCCCUCAGCAGUCAACUGCAAGGAAACGAAUCCAGCCAACAGUCAAAUGAGCCCGGCAGUGAAUUCUUCCCCACUCACACUUCCAAGUGGAGACAUAGCCUGACGACAUGUUGGCUGCAGGCUUGAGAGACCCUGAGCAGAAGACCUAGCAAGGCUGUGCCCAGACUCCUGACCAACAGACACUGUGAGAUGAGAAAUGGACAUUGUUUUAAGUUGCUAAAUACGGGGUACUUUGUUGUGUAGCUUAGAAAAUGAAUACAGUAAGAGAUUUCUAAUGUAGGUAUACACACUUAGAAAUAUAUGUGUGGAAAAAAAAAAAGAAAGAAAUAUAUGUGUGCAUGUUGAUUUCCCCCAAUGAUAAAGCAGUGCCUUGUACUUUUUUUUGUCAGUGUAAGUAGAAAUAGCUAAAUGCAAGGGACCAAGGAACAAAGCCAGUGACCCCAGAAAAAGCAGGACCAGUCAGUGCUGGUGAUUAUUCCUGAGAACGGGCAGGUGCCUGCCCCAGUGCUCACACACAAAAGCCGGGUAAUGAACGGGCUUCACCACGCAUUCCCAGGUAGGUAAUAAUGUCAUUCACCCAAGUGUCAAAGGAAGACAGCACCAUGAAGAUUCAAUCCUUCAUUUCUGGAUGAUAAAAUUUCUAGAGGCCUUUCUAAUUUUUGUGCAAUGCUAAUAAGGCAGGGUGUGUGAGUGGCUUCGCUGGUUAAGUGCCUGCCUU